rnacentral:rRNA from 1 species
GGAACAGGACGUCGCAGAGGGUGAGAAUCCCGUACGUGACCGGCCGCCACGCCCGUGUGAAGCUCCUUCGACGAGUCGAGUUGUUUGGGAAUGCAGCUCAAAAUGGGUGGUAAAUUUCAUCUAAAGCUAAAUAUUGGCCAGAGACCGAUAGCGCACAAGUAGAGUGAUCGAAAGAUGAAAAGCACUUUGGAAAGAGAGUCAAACAGUACGUGAAAUUGUUGAAAGGGAAGCGCUUGCAGCCAGACUUGCCCGCGGGUGAUCAGCCGGUAUUCUUACCGGUGCACUCGCCCGUGGUCAGGCCAGCAUCGGUUCGGGCGGCUGGAUAAAGUCCACUGGAACGUAGCUCCCCUCGGGGAGUGUUAUAGCCAGAGGUGCAAUGCAGCCCGCCGGGACCGAGGACCGCGCUUCGGCUAGGAUGCUGGCGUAAUGGUUGCAAGCGACCCGUCUUGAAACACGGACCAAGGAGUCUAACAUCUAUGCGAGUGUUUGGGUGUCAAACCCAUGCGCGUAAUGAAAGUGAACGGAGGUGGGAACCCUCAAGGGUGCACCAUCGACCGAUCCUGAUGUCUUCGGAUGGAUUUGAGUAAGAGCAUAGCUGUUGGGACCCGAAAGAUGGUGAACUAUGCCUGAAUAGGGUGAAGCCAGAGGAAACUCUGGUGGAGGCUCGCAGCGGUUCUGACGUGCAAAUCGAUCGUCAAAUUUGGGUA